AGAGAGAGAGAGUUUGAACUUUCCAUCCUUCUCACCGUCGAUCUACAUCUCUGAACCUCGCCUUCGUUCUUCCGUUCUCCCCUCACCGUCGGCAGCUUGUCAUGAUCCCUUUCUUUCUGCUGUUCGUCCGAUGGCUGAGCGUCGGUCGCGGGUUGAUUUAUAGUGUUGGCUAUUGCGAUUUCGUUUGAGAUAAUGUAAAUGAUCCUGCACCUCUUGCUUAUCACUAAGGGACUUUAUCAUUUUUGCAGACGACGGAAGCACGCUUCACUCAUUUAUUCUACUGUAAAUAUUCAUUAUAUUAUACAAUAAUAGUUAGUGCUCCACGUAUACUGUAGUUAUGUUCUAUUCUUAUUUUAUUGUUGUGAAAUCUACUAGUGUGAAGCUAAAUUCCCCUUCUGGUUUGGCUGACAGUUUUUUGUUUUUUGUUUGUUAUUAUAAGAAUUUUGGGGAAGUCCUAAUUUCAGAGGAAACUUUGCCAAAAUUUUUACAAAAUAGUGAAAACUUUAUAAAUUUUAGAUUUAGAUGU